rnacentral:lncRNA from 1 species
GAAAGAGUCGCACCGUUUGCAGGGGAAAAAAGGGAAGACGCAAGUUCUCUGUUUUUUCGCUGCACUCAUUCAACAAACGCCUUCUCUUUUCACCAUUAAUCUGUAAAAUUCUCGUACUACCCACCUCAUAAUUUUGCCUCAUGUUGAUUAUUCAUUUUUUUUCUUAUUCUUCUUGCUGUUUGUGACUCGUACAUUCAUCUUUGCCCAUUUGGUUUAUAUUAUAGUAUGCUUAACUAUUUUAAUCAGUUUC